rnacentral:misc_RNA from 1 species
GGCAAAGUCAUUGCAGUGCUACGUCCUAGUUAAGCGUGGUUCACAGAAGGUCACAGUUGAACACAAGAAAAGCCCUUAAAAAGUCUCCAACAAAUAUGAUCAUACCAUUCUAUCUGCAUGGUUGUAGUUAAACUUAGAACAUAGUAUCUGUUAGGCAUCAUGAGAAUAAAUAUUUAUUUGAACGGCUUAUCAAAAAAGAUAUGUGCGAGGGUGGUUAAUCAUCUGACAUAAAUAUUCCCUCAGUUGAAUUGCA